CGUGAGCGGCGGACGGGGGAGUAACGCGUGGGUAACCGUGCCUCAUACAGGGGGGUAACAGUUGGAAACGGACUGCUAAUACCGCAUAAGCGCACAGUACCGCAUGGUACGGUGUGAAAAACUCCGGUGGUAUGAGAUGGACCCGCGUCUGAUUAGGUAGUUGGUGGGGUAACGGCCUACCAAGCCGACGAUCAGUAGCCGACCUGAGAGGGUGACCGGCCACAUUGGGACUGAGACACGGCCCAA
rnacentral:rRNA from 1 species